rnacentral:sRNA from 1 species
GAUCAUUGACAUACUUGAUACGAACAAUGGCAACAAGCAUUACUCGGCAGGUGAAAUGCCUGCACGUGAUUAACCCAUUGUCGUUAGCCUGCGACCUAAUGUGCGCAGGGCGAAGCCGUGGCAGGCACGGAACACCCCCGAGGCUCGAAAGCCUCCUGACGACAC